UUACCCCUGCACUGUGAGGCGGACACACUAACCAAUCGCCCACCGGGCCGCCCAGUAUGAUACAGACGUACAAAUUUCCAUGGCGGCUCCUCAGUAAUCUGCAGGAAUGUUCCUCGUUCUUAGCAGAGGAUAAAGCAUCUAUGCCUAUGUCAAGAGAAUGGCCGAAAGAAAGGCACAUGCUGGCCGAGCGGCACUCGCUGCCUCUGAGCCUCGUGAGCCUGGGCAACGGAGGAUGAGGGGAGGGGCCGGCGGCGGCGGCGGCGGCAUGUGACCGCCGAGGAUGGGCUGCUUUUCCUCAUUCCUAAACGAAGGACAAUUGCAGAGUUGUAACUCUACUCGUGCUCGGCUGCCCUCCCCGCCCGGGCGUCGGCCAGCACACCUGCGGAAGGAAACGAGGGUCGGAUGCGGCCCUUCAUCUAAAAGCUCCGGUGACCUGGGAGUCGGACGCGUGCGUCACGUAUUUGGAGUGAGAGAUAAUCUACCAGCUGUUCGGUGGGCGGGAAGGGAGGGGCGCUGACGCAGGUCUUUCCUGAACUUCGCGACACCUCACCCAGUGCAACUUGAGUUUGGUUUCGACAUGUUUGUUUCGUUUAGGGCACACAGAGACUAACAACCAUUCGUGUUCACAAUCACACCGAGGGACAAUUUGGAGUGCCCAAUC